rnacentral:misc_RNA from 1 species
GUAGGUGAACCUGCGGAAGGAUCAUUACAAAUCCACGUCUCUUUUGAGACAAGUUGAAAUGUAGAAGCAAGAGAGAUGGUCACAUUGUGGUCUCUCUCUUCUUCUAAACUAUUCUCACCUAUGUUGAUCAGUUGUAUUAUAAAAAAAUCUUUACAACUUAUAACAAUGGAUCUCUAGGCUCUU